AUGAUACGUAGCCGAGUUGAGAGACUGAUCGGCCACAUUGGGACUGAGACACGGCCCAGACUCCUACGGGAGGCAGCAGUAGGGAAUCUUCCACAAUGGACGCAAGUCUGAUGGAGCAACGCCGCGUGAGCGAAGAAGGUCUUCGGAUCGUAAAACUCUGUUGUUAGAGAAGAACACGGGUGAGAGUAACUGUUCACCUGUUGACGGUAUCUAACCAGCAAGUCACGGCUAACUACGUGCCAGCAGCCGCGGUAAUACGUAGGUGGCAAGCGUUAUCCGGAUUUAUUGGGCGUAAAGGGAACGCAGGCGGUUCUUUAAGUCUGAUGUGAAAGCCUUCGGCUUAACCGAAGAUGUGCAUUGGAAACUGGGGAACUUGAGUGCAGAAGAGGAGAGUGGAACUCCAUGUGUAGCGGUGAAAUGCGUAGAUAUAUGGAAGAACACCAGUGGCGAAAGCGGCUCUCUGGUCUGUAACUGACGCUGAGGUUCGAAAGCGUGGGUAGCGAACAGGAUUAGAUACCCUGGUAGUCCACGCCGUAAACGAUGAAUGCUAGGUGUUGGAGGGUUUCCGCCCUUCAGUGCCGCAGCUAACGCACUAAGCAUUCCGCCUGGGGAGUACGACCGCAAGGUUGAAACUCAAAGGAAUUGACGGGGGCCCGCACAAGCGGUGGAGCAUGUGGUUUAAUUCGAAGCUACGCGAAGAACCUUACCAGGUCUUGACAUCUUUUGACCACCUAAGAGAUUAGGUUUUCCCUUCGGGGACAAAAUGACAGGUGGUGCAUGGUUGUCGUCAGCUCGUGUCGUGAGAUGUUGGGUUAAGUCCCGCAACGAGCGCAACCCUUGUUGUCAGUUGCCAGCAUUCAGUUGGGCACUCUGGCGAGACUGCCGGUGACAAACCGGAGGAAGGUGGGGAUGACGUCAAAUCAUCAUGCCCCUUAUGACCUGGGCUACACACGUGCUACAAUGGGCAGUACAACGAGUCGCGAAACCGCGAGGUUUAGCAAAUCUCUUAAAGCUGCUCUCAGUUCGGACUGCAGGCUGCAACUCGCCUGCACGAAGUCGGAAUCGCUAGUAAUCGCGAAUCAGCAUGUCGCGGUGAAUACGUUCCCGGGCCUUGUACACACCGCCCGUCACACCAUGAGAGUUUGUAACACCCAAAGCCGGUGGGGUAACCUUUUGGAGCCAGCCGUCUAAGGUGGGACAGAUGAUUGGGGUGAAGUCGUAACAAGGUAGCCGUAGGAGAACCUGCGGCUGGAUCACCUCCUUU
rnacentral:rRNA from 1 species